AAAACGACUCUCGGCAACGGAUAUCUAGGCUCUCGCAUCGACGAAGAACGUAGCAAAAUGCGAUACUUGGUGUGAAUUGCAGAAUCCCGUGAACCAUCGAGUUUUUGAACGCAAGUUGCGCCCGAAGCCAUUAGGCUGAGGGCACGUCUGCCUGGGCGUCUC
rnacentral:rRNA from 1 species